rnacentral:rRNA from 1 species
GAUGAACGCUAGCGGGAGGCUUAACACAUGCAAGUCGAGGGGUAAAUGGUAGCAAUACUAUGAGACCGGCGGACGGGUGCGUAACGCGUAUGCAACAUACCUUGUGCAGGGGGAUAGCCCGUGGAAACGCGGAUUAAUAUUCCAUAGUCCAGCUAUAUCGCAUGGUAUAGUUGGUAAAGAUUUAUCGGCACAAGUUUGGCAUGCGUCUGAUUAGCUUGUUGGUAGGGUAACGGCCUACCAAGGCUACGAUCAGUAGGGGUUCUGAGAGGAUUAACCCCCACACUGGUACUGAGACACGGACCAGACUCCUACGGGAGCAGCAGUGAGGAAUAUUGGUCAAUGGGCGGAAGCCUGAACCAGCCAUCCCGCGUGAAGGAAGACAGCCUUACGGGUUGUAAACUUCUUUUCUGUCAGAAGAAUAAGCUUGUCGAGACGAGUGAUGCCGGUAUGAACAGGAAUAAAGCAUCGGCUAACUCCGUGCCAGCAGCCGCGGUAA